GAGCGUCAGCGAGAGAGCGUUGCCGCAGGCAACGACCCGAAGGGCGAAGCGCGCAGCGCUGAGUAAUCCUUCCCCCACCACCA
rnacentral:sRNA from 1 species